UCUGGUACAAUUGUUCCUCCUUUCCAAUUUGCCAUCAGCGCUGUCAACCAGGAAUAUAAAUUUUUGGAACCUUGUACAAAUUGUCAAUUUCCCAAAGCUGAAAAGAUUCAUGAGCAAAAGUGGGUGGGAACGAAAUAAUAAGCAUAAGAAUGUAAUUAUCAUUGAAAGUUGUUAAGACUGCUAUACUAAAUAUCCAUAAACCUACAAUCCUCAAAUCAUAUAAAAAGCACAUCCUGGUAAAGCUUGGAAAUGAAAGCAGCAAGGUUGCUUCCAUGUAAUUUUCAGAAACCUCAUAUUUCAGUUUUUUUUAAAGGAAUUUUAUCCUUUAGUUGAAGAAAAGACACGAUGAGAUGUCACACAAGACUUAGUGUCAAGAGAAAAAUUGUUAGUAGUGAAGAGCUAGAAUCAGAUUGCUAGUCUGGCAGUCCAGCCGCAUCCCUACAACUAUUGAGAUCUACGCUAUGCAGUUUGUAACCAACCAUCCUUAGCUGCAACGCUGUAUUUCAAUGCAGCAACUAGUUAUGGGGCGUGUUUUGUACGGUAACAUUUUCACUUUCAUGUUUACUCGUUGUGCUUAGUAAUUUGUAGAACGUGGACCUGAAAGAUAAGGUUAAUUGACGCCCUGACUUAGCAAAGAACUGGUAGCAGGAUCAAAUGGCAGUUAGAAAGAAAUACUUUGGGACCUGGAAAAGUAAUCUUCCCAUUUUAGCUGUGUCAUUUUGGUCUUUAAUUUUGUUAGUGGUUGAAGAAGUAAUUGAUGGUGAAUUUAAAUGUCCUCAACGAAAUAAUGCGAGCAUUUACUACAGCUUGGCAUUUUUCUUUUUUCCAGCCCUUAUUUUCCUUGUCCUGAGCUUGAUAGUUCAGCAGGAUUUCAUUGAUUGGGUUCGCUGCUCAGAAAAACGCAGUAGGGACCGCACGUGUGAAAUAGUGGGAAAGACUUCUGGAGCUGCUCUUUUAUGGCGUGUGAUUCUCCUCAUUGAUGGCCGAUCCGCUGAGUGCAUAAAUAGGACAUUUAAGGGAAGCAGCAUAGAACCCACAGCACAAACAAUGCCAUCACAGCCAUCCAGCGAAGCUUAUCGCAGGUUUUUGGACUAUUUGCCCUUUUUGUUAUGAUCGUUGUCUACUGCCUAUACACACUUUACCCAUUCUGCUUCUGCUGUAAAGAUAAAGAAAAAAUGAAGCGGACAUAGAGCCAGCGCAUACGAGAGAAAGAAGCUCAAAUCUGUAUGUCAAAAGAGGAAAAGUAUGUGUAGGAAAUAGUGCAGAAUGUCCUGCGAUCUAAGUUUCAGGAUCACCUGAAAAAUGUUCCGAAUGACACAAGUAUAACAGGUAUAUUUGAAGAAGUAAAAAACUUUCUUAACCAGCCAGCAACAUCUCAAACUCCUCAAAUGGACACUGAAUUGGAAGUAAGGCUCGGAUAACUACUAAUACGUAUAUAAUCUUCUUGGAAAAGGUGCAGUUCCACACAUGCAUAGUGGCUUUCCUAUACCAAUACAACCAGAACCCCCCCAACACUUUUUAAAAAGAAUAAACAUAAUAGAAUUUAACCAAAAAAUCAUACUUUAUAAUGUACGCUUCAUAUUA